rnacentral:lncRNA from 1 species
GGGGACGGCCUGGAGAGGGAGAACGUCGGCGGCGAUCUUCGGUGACCCGAGGAAGAAGACGACUGCUGCGCGUUGAUUCACUGCAUCUGGGCGUCGGGCUCGUGGCUAGGAAGCUUCAGGGGGUUGCGGCGGAGCUAACGCGCGGCUCAGAAGGAAGGGAGGUCGGCUAGAACGACGACGAGCUCGAGCUCUGCUCGGGCUCCAAUGGCG